rnacentral:rRNA from 1 species
GACGAACGCUGGCGGCGUGCUUAACACAUGCAAGUCGAACGCUGAAGCUCAGCUUUUGUUGGGUGGAUGAGUGGCGAACGGGUGAGUAACACGUGAGUAACCUGCCUCCUUCUUUGGGAUAACGCCCGGAAACGGGUGCUAAUACUGGAUAUUCACUGGUCUUCGCAUGGGGGUUGGUGGAAAGGGUUUUUCUGGUGGGGGAUGGGCUCGCGGCCUAUCAGCUUGUUGGUGGGGUGAUGGCCUACCAAGGCUUUGACGGGUAGCCGGCCUGAGAGGGUGACCGGUCACAUUGGGACUGAGAUCCGGCCCAGACUCCUACGGGAGGCAGAAGUGGGGAAUAUUGCACAAUGGGCGCAAGCCUGAUGCAGCGACGCCGCGUGAGGGAUGGAGGCCUUCGGGUUGUGAACCUCUUUCGCUCAUGGUCAAGCCGCAACAAUGGUUGUGGUGAGGGUAGUGGGUAAAGAAGCGCCGGCUAACUACGUG